rfam:Gorilla gorilla gorilla genomic chromosome, chr11, whole genome shotgun sequence
GUGCUCACUUCAGCAACACAUAUACUAAAAUUGGAACGAUAUAGAGAAGAUUAGCAUGGCCCCUGCGCAAGGACAACAAAUUCAUGAAGCAUUCCAUGUUAAA